AUGGAAAAACGUCAACUAUCCCUAGCUGAAUUCAACCUCAGAAAGCUCCUGAAGCAAAAAAUCAUUGGCCUCGCGGCUGUUGAACAAGCUCGUCGACGCCAAGCUUCUAGGAUAACUUGGCUCAAGGCUGGAGAUGCCACAACUGCCUUCUUCAACGCAAAGGCCUGCUCAAGAAAGAGGAAAAACUUCAUCCACUCCCUAUGUACUGAUGAUCACGUGGCAAUUGAGCAUGAUGAGAAGGCCAACACCAUUUUUGAGCACUUCAACAAGAUCAUGGGAGCUACUGAACCCAGAAGCUGCACCAUCAAUUGGACUGCUCUGAACCUGCCAACGAUUCAGACUGAUGGUUUGGAUGCCCCUUUCACCGAAGCAGAGGUUUGA
rnacentral:rRNA from 1 species